UUCGCAAUGCCCGAAAGGGUGACGAAGCGACGCCGCGUGCGGGAAGAAGGCCUUCGGGUCGUAAACCACUGUCGGGAGUUAAGAAAUGCAAGGAUAUUAAUAGUGUCUUUGUUUGACUAAGGCUCCGGAGGAAGCCACGGCUAACUCUGUGCCAGCAGCCGCGGUAAUACAGAGGCGGCAAGCGUUGUUCGGAAUUAUUGGGCGUAAAGAGCACGUAGGCGGCUGUGUAAGUCGGUUGUGAAAGCCUUCCGCUUAACGGAAGAACGGCAUCCGAUACUGCAUAGCUUGAGUGCGGGAGGGGAGAGUGGAACUUCUGGUGGAGCGGUGAAAUGCGUAGAUAUCAGAAGGAACACCGGCGGCGAAGGCGACUCUCUGGUCCGUAACUGACGCUGAGUGUGCGAAAGCUAGGGGAGCAAACGGGAUUAGAUACCCCGGUAGUCCUAGCCGUAAACGAUGGGCACUAAGUAGAGGGGUUUU
rnacentral:rRNA from 1 species